GACGAACGCUGGCGGCGUGCUUAACACAUGCAAGUCGAACGGUGAAGCGCCUUCCUUUUUGGUGGGUGUGGAUGAGUGGCGAACGGGUGAGUAACACGUGAGUAACCUGCCCCCUUCUUCUGGAUAACCGCAUGAAAGUGUGGCUAAUACGGGAUAUUCUGGGUCUGUCGCAUGAUGGGUCUGGGAAAGAUAUUGUUUCGGUGGGGGAUGGGCUCGCGGCCUAUCAGCUUGUUGGUGGGGUGAUGGCCUACCAAGGCGGUGACGGGUAGCCGGCCUGAGAGGGUGGACGGUCACACUGGGACUGAGACACGGCCCAGACUCCUACGGGAGGCAGCAGUGGGGAAUAUUGCACAAUGGGCGCAAGCCUGAUGCAGCGACGCCGCGUGAGGGAUGGAGGCCUUCGGGUUGUGAACCUCUUUCGCCAGUGAAGCAGGCCUGCCUCGUUUGUGGGUGGGUUGACGGUAGCUGGAGAAGAAGCGCCGGCUAGCUACGUG
rnacentral:rRNA from 1 species